UAAAUAAAUAAAAUACUAAGAUUGGAACAAUACAGAGAGGAUUAGCAUGGCCCCCGUGCAAGGCUGAUUUGCAAACUCUGGAAACAUUCCACAUUUAA
rnacentral:snRNA from 1 species